rnacentral:lncRNA from 1 species
AUAGCCGUUGUUUUCAAUGGUAAUUUAACAUAACAUGCGGGACAAGCAUUAUUUGGCGAGUAGCCCAGCCCCGUCACGCGAAAAGUGUAAUGCCUUGUUUCUGCAAAAAAUGCAUAAUUUGCAAAGUUAGGGCAUUUAAUCGUUAUAAUAGUGUAAAUAUGGGGAUCAGUAGACUUU